CACACCUCUAAAAGAAUUAGUAUGCAAUUAUGAUUACUCAUUUACGUCAGGUCAAAGUGCAGCUUAUGGGAAGGUGAUGAUUGGGUUACACCCUAAACAAAGAUACGGAAUAUGAUGUCAAAAGUCAUAUAAAGGAGGACUUGGACGUAAUAGUGACCCAAUUUCACAAUGAAGCCGAAUCUAAGACAUGCACACAUCGCCCGUCACUCUCGCCUAAAGGCGAGAUAAGUCGUAACAAAGUAGGUGUAACGGAAGUUGCACCUGU
rnacentral:rRNA from 1 species